AACUGGGAUGCAAAGAAUCUGCACAUAGGCAAUGGACCUUGAACUCAGGUCUUCUGGGCUCAAAAUCUAGUUUGAUUUCUGCUACAUCAUGAAUGCUACCCUAGGUACAACCAUGUGCAAAAUUCAAAGGUCUUGAGCUUUCUGAGUCAAUGUCCAGGUCUUCUCUCCAGAAAGUCCUGUUGGGGAAAGCGUGAUGCAAUAGAAAGAAGACUGGGCUUAGAAUUAGAGUCUCUGCACUUUUGCCUCACCUUGGAAACACAUAUAAACUCUCUCCACCUUAGCUUCUUCGUGUGGAAACUGGGCAUAGUAAUAUCAGUUUUGUCAACUUUAUGGGAUCAGUGCCUUCCAGUUCUCAAAUUCGAAGACGAUACCAUUGACAUCCUUUCUACUGUGUCUCAAAGGAGGAGGGUCACCAGGAGGGUAAGGAGACUGGAAAUCAUAUUAUCUCUGAGGUCUCUUCAAACUCUGUGAUUUCAGUGGUCUUUCUCUGGCUUGUU